UCACCAAGAAGAGCUCACUGCAAGCGUUACAAGAUGCUGAAAGCAGGGGCGGCUUUGUUCCUUUCUUCCCUGCUGUGGAAUUAGGACUCUGUUUUCCACUGGACCGGAAAUAAGGAAAAAAAUGAAAGCAGAUCCACAAGCCAGGUCUGGUUUUAAUCAGAGCAUAAUCUUUAUGAGACAACGCAAGGCUGAGAAUUUUUUAAUCUGAUAUUUUGAAAGAAAAAUCCGUGUUCCAAAAUGAUACAAACCAAUCAGCCUUAGAAGAACGAUGGAAAAAAGAAAUCUCUUGCAUAAAAGAGAAGCAGGAAAUUCCAGAGAAGUUUCACAGGGAGGAGGGGAAAACCCAAGGUGUAAAGAUAAUUCAGAAGAAAAUACAAUGUUUUCAACUAACGCAGAUGAAACAGUUGGAUAUUCUUAUGCAAAAAAUGAUUCCAGUCCAAUCCUGGCACUUAUACGAAAAGCAGCGGGCCGGGGCACCCGGCUAAGGAAACUCCAGGCCGUGAGAAGCCACCGCAAGGCUGUGAGCAGGAGAACGACGUUGUGACACGACCAAAGCAUGAAACUACCUCUGCGGCCAAACAGCUGGCGCUCCCUUCCUCAGCAAGUUCAGUUUUCCCUGGAACUCCGAGGCCAGCAGAAAACUCCGGAAACUGAAAGCAUGAAAACUCCAGGGUUCCCAGAGGAAACUGGACCACCCCGAACCUUUCUAAAACGGGUGAUCACCGACCCAAUUACAAGUCAGGAAAAUGGUCUCCGGGGGAAUGAGUUUUCUGAGGUCUCAGAACGUUUUCCCUGGGCUGAGAACAUUUGGACUCGAGGUUUGGGUUUCGCAUCUGGAAAGGGAAAAAUAUGUGGUGCCUCUCUCUCCUCAGGAGAUCAGAGCAGAGGGGCCCGUGACCGGGCCUGAGGGCUCCAGGGCAGGCGGCAAGGCAGGGCCCUCUCCCCACUCCUGUACCAGCUGCGUAGGACGCUGCCUCCCGUGGCUCUCUCUCUCUGCACCCACUCCAGCUGGACACGCACGUCACCAGCGUUUACUGCUGGGCUGGCCUUCCAGAAGCUCAAUCCCAUGGACUUUUGAUGACAGGGAUUUUCAGUGUUUAGCUAGUCAGGUUUCGCAGUUUUUCUCCAGUGGAUAGAAAGCCCUGACUUCCUUUGUUUCUAAUUAAAGGCAGAUGGGCAGCGGAUGGCCUGCCUCUUCCUCGUCCCUCCGUGUGAGAGUA